CGAGGAAUAUUGGUCAAUGGGCGCAAGCCUGAACCAGCCAUCCCGCGUGCAGGAAGACGGCGCUAUGCGUUGUAAACUGCUUUUCCAGGGAGAGAAACUUGCGCACGUGUUGCGCAAUUGACGGUACCCUGGGAAUAAGCAUCGGCUAACUCCGUGCCAGCAGCCGCGGUAAUACGGAGGAUGCGAGCGUUAUCCGGAUUCAUUGGGUUUAAAGGGUGCGUAGGCGGACUAUUAAGUCAGUGGUGAAAUCCUGCAGCUUAACUGCAGAACUGCCAUUGAUACUGAUAGCCUUGAGUUUGGUUAAGGUAGGCGGAAUGUGUAAUGUAGCGGUGAAAUGCUUAGAUAUUACACAGAACACCAAUUGCGUAGGCAGCUUACUGAGCCGACACUGACGCUGAGGCACGAAAGCGUGGGGAUCGAACA
rnacentral:rRNA from 1 species